rnacentral:lncRNA from 1 species
GAUUGCCUAGGAAUAUUUACAUAUCAGAAUUGGUUAUGCUUGUCCCCCUGAGGUGGACCAUUACAAAUCAAGCAAGAUUGCAUUGCAUUGCUAGCUUUGUCCUUUUCUUUAGACGUAAUCUCUGAGGUAUGUAGGCUUGGUGAUUCUUCUUUUGGGCUUGUUUGCUACUUGCACCCCUACUCCUGCUGUUGUGUUCACUGUUUGCUUGUUGAUUUCCUUUGCUGCCCCUGUUUCUGUAUCAUCCCUCGGUCCUUGCAAAGUCACCUUGUCCUCAAGGUGAAAGUCUUGGCAUAGCUACGACCAAUCCUCCCAAGAUGUCUCAUCUGGGGACAGGCCAUGCCAAAACACCAAAGCUUCCCAAGGAGCGUUAGGAUCGGAAGAGUGACGAUGAUAAUCUAGUAUGGCCAAGGGAAAAAUGAGGGGUUGAUUGUCAAUGCAAUUUGGGGGUAGCUCUGCUGGCUUCGACGUCAUUGGCAAACCGUGGAAUGGUUUGAGUGUGGAACAAUGGAAAAUAGGGUGAAUUCGUGCUCCUUUUGGUAGUUGCAAGCGGUACGCCAUGGGACCUAUUCUCUCUAUGAUCUGAAAUGGCCCGUAAUACCUCUUUGCUAAUUUGCCCAUACUAGCCGGAGUUCCUUUUGCCGAUGUUUCGCGGUAUGGUCGGAGCUUGACUAAAACCCAGUCACCACAUUCAUAAUUGACCUCGUGCCGCUUCUUAUCAGCAUAUGUCUUCAUACAUGCUUGAGCCUUUAAGAGCUUCUUUCGAAUUGCUUGAAAGGUAGCUUCCCUUCCCGCCAGAAUAUCAUCCACAGCAUCCACCUUUGCAGUUCCUGUGAUAUAAUCUGGCAAAUUGAAUGGUUUCUUACCGAACAUUAUCUCAAAUGGAGUGGUGCUGGUGCUUGCAUUCCAAGCUGUAUUAUGGGACCACUCAACCCAAGGCAAAAGCUUUCCCCAAGCACCUGGCCUGCGGUGCAUGAAAGCCCGGAGAUACUAUUCAAUAAUGCGGUUGAGGACCUCUGUUUGGCCAUCACUCUGAGGGUGAUAGGUUGAACUCAUUCACAAUUGAGUUCCGCUUGAUCGAAAAAGGUCUUGCCAGAAUCUACUAAUGAACAAUGAGUCCCUAUCGGAGACAAGACUACGAGGAAUGCCGUGAAUUUUGGUCACAAUGUCGAUAAAGAGUGAGGCCACCCCAGAAGUAGUAUGAUUUGCCAGCAACAUUCCCAAGUGAAUGCCCUUGGAAAACCUAUCCACCACAACAAGAAUCAUGGUGUUACCAUGGUAAGAGGGCAAGCCAGCUAUGAAGUCCAAUGACAGGUCCUCCCAGGGUCGAGAAGGAACUGGGAGAGGGCACAGUAAUCCUGCCAGCUGUUUAGCCUCAUACUUUGUUACUUGGCAGUCUACACACUUGGCUACGAACUGAGCAACGUUCUCCCGGAGCCCUUGCCAAUAGAAAUUUUCUAACACCCGUGCUACGAUUUUAGCUACUCCAGUAUGACCUCCGGUUGGGGUGGCGUGAUAUUCAGUAAUCAAUGUGGGAAUCAAUGAAAAUCCACAGGGUAACCAGAUACGGCUGCGAUAGACCACAAGGUUCUGAGAGGUAGAGAAAUCCUUGAGGUUAGAUGGGUCAUUCAGGAUCUGUCGGAGCUGUUGCUAAUACUCUGGAUGAGUACCAAGUUGUCUGUGAAGUUCCUCCAUGAAUGUCAAACAGGGCACUGACAAGAUCAUGAGGGAAGCCUGGUCCUGCUCUGGUAAUCGUGACAAGGCGUUAGCUACUUGAUUAUGAUUGUCAGAACGGUAUUGAAUGGUGUAGUCAAACCCCAUUAAGCACGCCAAAUACAUAUGUUGUUCUGGGGUUUGUAUCACUUGGGUAAGCAAUUCCUUGAGACUAGACAUGACUUCUAUGACAAAACUACAAUAGGUGAACAAGUCACUCUAGAUUUUUGAGGUUUUCUUCUACUUUAAUAUUUUUGUAAGAAUUUUAUGGUUUAGGUUUCAGCCACAAAAAAUAACAAGACAAAACUCAAAGGAACCUAAACUCAACACAAUUCAUGGUUCAAGAACAAGAACAAGAAAUUUGAACCAUAGAAAAUCAAAUCUAACUUCUAUAGCAAGUUUAAUCGGUGGAAACUCUAAAGAAUCAUGUUAACAACAUUUAGAACAAGACAUGUGAGGAGAUACAUGGAGAAAAAUGAAGAAACAACAAUGGAAGAGAAGGUAAAGAAAAAAAAAUUAAUGGAGGUUUAAGGAGCACCUACUUGAAGCUCUUGUGCUCUGAUUACCACUUGAUGGAAGCUUGCUUGUGAAGAUUUUAUAGAGGCUGGAUCUUUGAGCUCCAAUGAGGUCCUUCAAUGGUGAUUUUUCACCAUGGAGAUGCAGCGGAAGGCAAAGGAGAAGAGGAGAGGGGAGGCACCAUCCACUAGGGAAUAAGCCAAGGAAGAAGGAGCUUCACCACCAAGAAUUGCCUUGGAUAAGAAGCUUGAAGAGGAUGCUUUAAUGGAGGAAAAGAAAGAGAGAAGGGGGGAGCACGAAAUUGAAGGAAUAAAAGAGGGAAAGAAGUGGAACUUUGAAGUGUAUCUCAUAAGACUUUCAUUCAUCAAAGUUACAACAAGUGUUACACAUGCUUCUAUUUAUAGACUAGGUAGCUUCCUUGAGAAGCUUUCUUGAGAAAACUUCCUUGAGAAGCUUCUUUGAGAAAACUUCCUUGAGAAGCUAGAGCUUAGCUACACACACCCCUCUCAUAACUAAGCUCACCUCCUUGAGAAGCUUCCUUAAGAAGAUUCCUAAAGAAGCUAAAGCUUAGCUACACAUACCUCUCUAAUAGCUAAGCUCACCUCCUUGAGAUGAGAAGCUAGAGCUUAGCUACACACCCCCUAUAAUAGCUAAGCUCACCCCCAUGAGAAAAAACAUGAAAAUAACAAAAAAAGUCCUUAUUACAAAGACAACUCAAAAUGCCCCGAAAUACAAGGCUAAAACCCUAUACUACUAGAAUGGCCAAAAUACAAGGCCUAGACGAAGGAAAAACCUAUUCUAAUAUUUACAAAGAUAAGCGGGCUCAUACUUAGCCCAUGGGCUCGAAAUCUACCCUAAGGCUCAUGAGAACCCUAGGGCCUUUCCUUGGAUCUCUAGCCCAAUCUACUUGGAGUCUUCUAGCCAAUGCCCUUGCGGGCUAGGAUUGCAUCAUUCCCUCCACCUUGGAAAGGAUUUGACCUCAAAUCCCGAGGUUCUUCAUACUCUGGGCUCCUUCCCUCAACACCUGUAAAAAGAAAAAAAACACAUGUAUUUGUGGUGUUUGGUAUGUUGAAGUAAGGUAAGGUCUGAAAACCCAUUUCCUGGGCAUCUUCCCAUGAAGGAACAUGGUUUCUCACCAAGUCAAUGAGUGGUGCUACAAGUAUAGAAAAAUAUGGGACAAACCUUUUGUAAAAGUUUGUUAAGUCAUGGAAGCCCCAAAUUUUUCUUAUACUUGGUGGAGUGAGCCACUCAGGAAUGACCUUUAUUCUCUUAUGGUUCAUGGGAACCUGUUGAUCACUAUUUGAAAAAUUAAGAAAAGUAACGCAAUAAAACAUACCUUUUUCUGUAUAUUCAUAUUGAUUAUUCAUACCAAAAAGUAUAACAAACCUAAGGUGUCCCAUAUGAGUACCUAAGUUUGUAUUGAAACUAAAAAUAAGAACAAACCUACCUAAUGGGUCCCUAUGUACACACACCAUGAAGAUGUUAGGUGUACGAGUGAUUUUACAAAAGAGGGUUGCACCACUCAAAACAUUCAUCAUACCACCUAUUUUAGGGACUUGGUGCCUAAUAAUACCUAUUUUGGGCACCAAAAAAAGCACAAGGAUUUAAGCUCUUGCGAACCAAACCCUCAUCCAACAACUUCUUUACUUGAGGAAUAAACUCAAGCCCAAGAGGUGUUGCAAUGCUAGCAAGUGUCUUUUUACAAAAGAGAAAAUGUGGAGGUUGUCUAAGAGGGAAAGUUUCUUUAAUGUUUGUCUUUAUUGUAAAAUGAGUUUCCUUCUUAGCUAACCUCUUGGAGGAGACACUUACCUCCUUACACUUCUCUUUAACCACUAAUGGUUGUCCAUCUUCUUGGGGGUAGAUUUCUUCACUAGAUUCUUCCCCUUUUGCUUCUUCACUCUCACUAGAGGAAGGUGAAGUAGUAGCCUCAUCUUGGCUACUAUAAAUGUCUUGGCCCCUCAUAAUCAUGGUUUUUGUGGUGGGGCAUUGAGAAGUAAUGUGUCCUCUUCCAAGACAUUUAAAGCACUUUAUAGAGCUAGUUUUCUCUUGCAUACUAGCCUUAGGGGCUUGCUUUUCUAUUGCCUUCCCCUUAUCAUCUUUGGGCUUAGAAGGUGUCACCCCUAAGAUGCCCUGAAUCUCUCUUAUUGCUUAAUAUAUCAAACUGAAAAAAUACAUUGGAAUAGAUUAGUUUAGACUUCAAGAACAUUUCAUAUGUGAAGUUAAUACUUUUGAUAUCUAACAGAAAGCAGACGAACCUCUGUUGAUGUUUUCCUUAAGGCUGCUGGGUAUUUGGAUUGUGCAGUCAAACAUGUUCUUCCACAGUUGCCUGUGGAACUCAGG